CCCGCCUCUAGGCGCCGUGAUGGGGGUGGCUGGAAGAGCGGAGAGCCAGCGACAGCCGAUCUGUUAGCUCGUGCGACCCAGCAGCGGGGGUCCUCCACUGUUCAUUUCUCUACAACUGAAGGAAAAUACUGUGUGUUGAGCACCCGUGUAGUGCGCGAAUUAAAGGCCUCAUCCUUCUGGAACUUAAAUUUUAAUGAAGCCAUGUGGGCAAUAAAUGUGUGUGAGAGAGAGAGAGAGAGAAUGUGACCUGAGUCCAUGGCUAUGACUCCUCCCUCAUCUUUCUGAAGCUCAACCUUGAAUGCUUACAGGACCACUGAAAAAAGAAUCUCUAGGCUCCCCCAAGAGCUCAUUUCCAUCAACAGCUCUGGAAGUGGGUCAUGUUACGUAUAAAAAUAAAGACAGCAAGAAGAGCUCAGACGGUAGAACCAGACUGCUUGGGACUGAAAUCGGCAUUCGCCACUUACCAGGGCUCAAUGCUUACUAUUCUGGAGUUCAUUACUAAGCUGUCCCACAGGGCAAGAUUAUAUAUGAAGAGACAUAACAGCUUGGGGGUGAAGUCAAAAGAAUGCAGCCAUGUACUGAUCACAGACUGGUUGGAUUAAUGUCACAUCAUCUCUAAAAGUAGAUUUUUAUCAAUCUAAGGCUGAGCAACCCUCUACUUAUCUUGUUUCCUUAUAGUAUCUGAGCAACUAAGAAGUUUUGUAAAUACUGUCUGACAUAUGUAUAUUAUACAAUAAGAUAUUAUUAACUUUAAAAAGGAGUUAACAGGUUACUUUAAAAUGUCUAAUCAGAAUAUACAUUAAAGCCAUCAUAUGAAACAUAA